AUUGCCCCAGUAACGGCGAGUGAAGCGGCAACAGCUCAAAUUUGAAAUCUGGCCCCAGGCCCGAGUUGUAAUUUGCAGAGGAUGCUUUUGGCGCGGUGCCUUCCGAGUUCCCUGGAACGGGACGCCAUAGAGGGUGAGAGCCCCGUACGGUUGGACACCAAGUCUUUGUAAAGCUCCUUCGACGAGUCGAGUAGUUUGGGAAUGCUGCUCAAAAUGGGAGGUAUAUUUCUUCUAAAGCUAAAUAUUGGCCAGAGACCGAUAGCGCACAAGUAGAGUGAUCGAAAGAUGAAAAGCACUUUGAAAAGAGGGUUAAACAGCACGUGAAAUUGUUAAAAGGGAAGCGCUUAUGACCAGACUUGCGCCCGGUGAAUCACCCAGCUCUCGCGGCUGGGGCACUUUGCCGGCUCAGGCCAGCAUCAGCUCGCUGUCGGGGACAAAAGCUUCGGGAACGUAGCUCUCUUCGGGGAGUGUUAUAGCCCGUUGCACAAUACCCUUCGGCGGGCUGAGGUACGCGCUCCGCAAGGAUGCUGGCGUAAUGGUCAUCAGCGACCCGUCUUGAAACACGGACCAAGGAGUCAACCUUAUGUGCGAGUGUUUGGGUGUCAAACCCCUACGCGUAAUGAAAGUGAACGCAGGUGAGAGCUUCGGCGCAUCAUCGACCGAUCCUGAUGUUCUCGGAUGGAUUUGAGUAAGAGCAUAUAGGGUUGGACCCGAAAGAAGGUGAACUAUGCGUGUAUAGGGUGAAGCCAGAGGAAACUCUGGUGGAGGCUCGCAGCGGUUCUGACGUGCAAAUCGAUCGUCAAAUAUGCGCAUGGGGGCGAAAGACUAAUCGAACCUUCUAGUAGCUGGUUUCCGCCGA
rnacentral:rRNA from 1 species